CUCCCAAAAUGCUGGGAUUACAGGCGUGAGCCACAGCGCCCAGCCCAACAAGUUUAAUGUAAAUAAAUAUUAUGUGCAUAGAACUUCGUGUAAUGUAGAUAUGUUGCCUUCCCCAAAAGAGGAACUCAGGACUUGACCAUCGGGGAAGGGGCAUUUUUCAUCUUGCACCAUUGUCCUCACCAAUUUUUCAGUCUUUUGGGAGCUCAUGAUUACAGUGCCCUCAAACUUUACAGAAAAUAAACUUAUGGCACCCCAAAUACGUUUGAAACAAAAUUAAGGCUAAGCAAGGGCGUUUCCUAGCAUGGAAGCAUGCAUGGAAUUAAGAUGCUGGCUCUGCCGCCGACCAGGAGGUGGCGCUGUCCCACACAGACCAGAGGCAGCUGCUUCCACGUGAGGCCUCCGGCUGGGAACUGCGCAUGGAGAUUUUGGGGUGUGUCUUUGCUGGAAACCCUAAGGCCCCUCUGCUGCCAGUCUGCUGGUGUUUGCUGGAGGUCCCCUCCUGACCCUGUUUUCCUGGGUAUCACCAGUGGAGGCUGCAAAGCAGCAAAGAUUGCUGCUUGUUCUUUCCUCUGGAAGCUUCGACCCAGCAGGGAACCUGCCAGAUGCCAGCCAGAGCUCUUCUGUAUGAGGUGUCUGUCAGCCCCAACUGGGAGGUGUCUCCCAGUCAGUAUACACAGGGGUCAGGGAUCCACUUGAGGAGGCAGUCUGGCCCUUAGCAGGCUCGCAUGCUGUGUUGGGAGAUCCGCUGCUGUCUUCAGAGCCAUCAGGCAGGGACGUUUAAGUCUGCUACAAGCCUGACUGGGCUGCUGCCUUUUUUACAGAGAUGCCCUGUCCAGGGAGGAGCAAUCUCGCAGUCUGAACACGGCAGCCUUGCUGAGCUGCAAUGGGCUCCACCCAGUUUGAACUUCCCAGCAGCUUUGCUUACACUGUGGUGGUAAAACCGCCUGCUCAAGCCUCAGCAACGGCGGACGCCCCUCCCCCUACCAAGCGCCACCGUCCCAGGUGGAUCUCAGAUUGCUGCUGUGCUGGAAGCGAGAAUUUCAAACCAGUGGAUCUUACUUUCCUGGGCUCCAUGGGGGUGGGAACCGCCGAGCCAGACCACUUGGCUCCCUGGCUUCAGGCCCCCUUUCCAGGGGAGUGAACAGUUCUGUCUCGCUGGCGUUCCAGGUGCCACUGGGAUAUGGAAAAAUAAAAUAAAAUAAAAGCUCCUGCAGCUAGUUCAGUGUCUGCCCAGUUGGCCGCCCAGUUUUGUGCUUGAAACCCAGGGCCCUGGUGGGGUAGUCACCAGAGGGAAUCUCCUGGUUUGCAGGUUGUGAAGACCAUGGAACAAGUGCAGUAUAUGUGCCCAAGUUCCUCAGGCUGAGACCCUCACAGCUUCCCUUGGGUCAGGGGGAAAAUUUCCCGAUUCCUUGCGCUUCCCAGGUGAGGUGACACCCCACCCUGCUUCCGCUCAGCCUCUGUGGGCUGCACCCACUGUCCAACCUGCCCCGGUGAGAUGAACCAGGUACCUCAGUUGGAAAUGCAGAAAUCACCCACCGUCUGCAUCGAUCUCGCUGGGACCUGCAGACUGGUGCUGUUCCUAUUCGGCCAUCUUGAACCUCUCUCCUGAUCCCUGAGUUUUCAGAGAGACUGAUUUGAGUAAUAAUAAAACUCUGGUCUCCUGCUCA